rnacentral:tRNA from 1 species
GGUUCUAUGGUGUAAUGGUUAGCACUCUGAACUCUGAAUCCAGUGAUCCGAGUUCAAUUUCGGUAGGACUU